GUGUCCGAAGUCUGAAAACUAAAGCCAUUGGUUACCAGGUGCCCUGCCCAUGGCACUGAGUGAGCCAAGUGGAGCAAGUUCUGUCAUAACCGCCGUGGGACCAACAGUUGGUGCAGGUCUUCUUUUGUCUGUGGUGCCUGGACUACCCAAUAGACGAACCAGCGGAGCCUGCUUGAGUGAAAUAAGGAUGGAGCGUAUGCGGGACACAUCUUUCGCCUGCUUACUAGACUUGGGAUUAAAGUCACAGAGCCGAGCCACACGUUCCCACUCUGUGCCUGGGGAAGUUUCUUCCACAUCAUUCACAAAGGCUUCUUCAGCUGCCUGGUUGUUGGCUUUUGUUUUCUGUAGCUGUUCAU